UAGCCUCGGACAGAUCUGUCAGUUGUACUUUCGGGCGCCCUAAAACUGUUUCCGGGCGCCCAGAAGUUUGUGCACGCCAGCUGCCUGUCGGACCACGUGCGCCGCUUUUCUUGACUUUGUAUGUUUGGGCCGUCAAAAAUUUGUGGGCGCCCAGAUCUCGAGGAACAGCUUUUCUGACACGCGCAGCUUUUCUUGACUUCGUAAGUUCUGGGCCGUCAAAAGUUGUGGGCGCACAGAACACGAGGAACAGCUUUUCUGACAGGCGCCGCUUCCUCUGGAUUUGGGCCGUCAGAAAGUUGUGGGCGCCCAGAUCUCGAGGGACAACUUUUCUGACAUGCGCCGUUUUUCUGGAUUCGAGUCGUCAAAAGUUGUGGGCGCCCAGAAAGUCGUGCUGACUUUCUUGCCAGACAGCCCAGAUUGCGUGCGCCGCUGCUUCCAUAAAAUCUGGGCGCCCAGAUUUUGCGCCGCCUGUUGUCGCAACCUGUCAAGUCAAAUAGUCUUGGUGUUUCUGGAUCACCCGAACAGCAAACAGGCAGGAUCCAAAAGGUCUCAAAAGAUUCGGAUCCACUUUAGGGCGCCCAGAACAGGGUCCAGAAAUCGCAACUUUACAGAACACAGAAUUUGAGCAAUUUUCGAAUAUUUAAAAAUCCUUUUCACUUAAUCAUAAAUUUAGAAAUUUGUUUAAGUGAUCUAUAAGGUGAUAAGAUGAAUAGUUUUAGCUCAAAGUUUCUCACUCUAAUCAUAAAGCAUAAUAUUAAUCAAAUUAAGAAUGGAGAGAGUGAGUUUGUCUAUUUGACAAAAGAAGCAAACACAGCUUCAAGUGGUGAAGCUUGGUGCUAGAAUACUGCCCAUCUUGAAUCCUUUUUGAAGAUAGAGAGAUCUAAAACACAAGACUCAAGAUAAAUAAUUAGUCCAAUAAUCGUGAUUAUUUGUUAUCAUCAAAAUCUAAUAGACGAUUAGGGCCACUAGGCCAACAGUUCUUACUCGUUUCAAUCCGGCUACUAGAAUCGAUCGCCGCACACCGCCCAAAUCCCUAGGGUUUAUGAUGGUGCCUUAGAGCGAACCCAAGAGAGAGAGAAUAUUUGUGGAGAGGUGAUUCUUAUUUUAUUUUUUUCGCUUUUCAUAUGUAGUCAAUACCUCAUAUAUUUAUAGGCCAUAAGGGGGACAUUAAUCCUAAUCAUAUUCUAAAUCUCACAUAGAUAGAGAUUUAAACAAAUUAGGGUUUAUCUGUUAGAUUUAUUUUUUAUCCCAUAUGGACUAAGAAUAUAACAGAUAAUUAUAAAUAUUUAUUUUCUAUCCCAUAUGGAUUAGAAAUAUUUUAGAUUAGUCCCAAUAUGGACGAAUCCUAACAGUACCUAUAUCAUGCCUCGAGUCCCGCAAUUUGAAUAUGCUCGGGAACAUACAAUAGGCCCACUGAACAGACAAAAUUUCCCCCUACCCGCACAAAGUGAAAACCUACACCAACCUGUACAACAUAUACACGAUAAGGGUACAAAGAGCAUCAGAGUAAUUAAAGCUUCUAUGUUAAUACCAUCACAAUUACAACUCUCUUUUGAGUUUACAAUCUAUUACUCUCCAAAAUAUUACAUGUUUUAAUUAUACAAAAAGAAUGCUUUGUCCUGGACCAAUCCACACUGAUCUAGCUAUUCCAUGUGAUGUAUCGAAUUUUAGUCUAAUUGAGAAAGCGCGGAUUAUGUUAUACUAGACAUGAUUAAAAUAAAUUUGAAGGAGCCUAAACUGAGUUUGAAUUAAAUUAAAAUCAAUUCAUGUCGAAACAGGAGUUCAAGUGCUUGAAAUGGUUUUGGGCGGCCUAAUAGAACUCCCCGAACAAUUGGAUGGCUCUUCCAGAGAGCAAAGCUGGUGAAAAGUCCAGAUUUUGGGUGCCCAAAAUAUUUUCGGAUCAUAGUUGAGGGCUCCCGAACCAUUUUCGGAAUUCGAAACCGAGAGCUCGGGUGCACGAGGUGUUAAAUAAACAUGCAGGUGCUCGAAUUCCCCUGCGGUUGCCUGAAACAUAUUUCAGGCAAGAAUAAGCAGGCACCUGGAUUCACGACUUGACGCAGCUACGAUGCCUUCGGGCACUUGAAAGUUAGGGCAAGCGCCCAAAACAAGCAUAAAAUUUUUAUAAAUUUGAUAAAACAAUCCAAAUCUGAUAAAAUUUUUAUUUUUUUUUUUUCACUAUUUAGAGUAAGACCAAUACUUCUGAUCUUAAAUUUAAGUCUUUUGUCAUUAUUUUUUAGGAGAUUUUAAUUUUCAGCCGUUCAUUUUUAGAUUACUCGUUCGAUAGAUAAAUGAUGCCAAAACUUUAUGAAAUUUAGUUUUCAAAUACUUUCAAUAGUGUAGAUCAAGUUUAACGGAGCCGAUCAUCGAUUUUGAAGCCGCAUCAUUGAAAACAACUUGGUAGAACGGAGGUCUCCGUGCUACCGAUAGUAUACCAACCCAACUAUAUAUAUAUAUAUAUUUGAACUUUUCGAGCUUAAUUCGAGCAAACCCAAUAAUACUGAAGUUUGACUUGAAAUAAAUUUUGAGUUUUUCUUUACUGUUCAAGUUCCGCUCAUUUAAUUUCCAGUCAUGCUCAAACGAGCCGAAUGUCGAGCCGAACGCGAAUCAAACACGAGCCACCUCACUCACUUGCCAGCGUACGCCCUAAGAGGGACUGAAGUGCCUCCAAGAAUUUCACCUUGGAGAAAAUUUUCUGUUUUGAUCACAUUUUCUUGUCAUUUUGCCUUUUCUUUUUCCUCAUUUUGCUUAAUUUUCUUUCGUCUUCGUGAUGACUUUUUUAACUGAAAUCCAAACUUCGUAUUUUUUGCACAUUAUUUUACUUAAUGGAGGUUUCUUUCCUCCUUAAAAACAGGAGCAAAAAAAGAUAUAAAUCAGAGGAUAAAAAGUUAGAAACUUUUCAAAAUUGACAUAUGAGUUACGAAAUAUUUCUAGUGAUCAAUUCCAAUUAAAAAAAGUGAUAAUUUUGGUUCUUCUUAAAUAGCAGCUAUAGGAGGAAAGCAGCAUACACGAAUCUUUACAAAAAUAUAAUCUCUUUCGCGUAUGCAAUAUCUAUUUAUCUAAGGUAGUUGGUUGUUAUUUGGAAUGCUAUCGAUCCGACUGGUCGGAUCAUAAUUUUAUGAGCACCCCUUUAAAGUGGAGAGUAACAAUAAUGCCCCUGAGAUUAAUAAUUCAUCAGAAAGUCAUCCAAUAUUUUUUAAAUACUAUUUUCACCCCUAGUACUAAUUUAAUUAACAUUCUUUUUUCGAACAGGGAUCUCACAUACAAUGUGAAGAGCUCCUGAGUUUCACAACAUUUGUUCCGAACGAAGUUUAACGGGCUUUUCAGUAAGGCCCAUAUUCUGAACGGGCUUCAAGGUUCCCACACUCUAUAUUUCCUGUUUUUCUUCUUCUCGUUUUAAAUUAAAUAAAGGUUUUGGAUUCCAAACUGAAAAUUGGGGGAUUUCUUUGUAGUUAUUAGUGUCCCUCCCCAUUUUUCUUUCCAGUCAAAUGGCCAUGCAAAUAUUUAUUUGCGAAAAUAAUCCUCUUCUUGCCGCAAGAGCACCAUGAUAGAAAGGUAAGUCGAACACAGUUAUUUAUUUAGUUUAUUUAAACACGAUAAAUAAAUUAUUGUGUAUUCUUUGACUUUUAAUUCUCGAGCUAGCUAGCUAGCUUUGGCCGAGAUCAACUGAGCAGGCUCAAGUCACAUACAAGCACGCACGCACCCGUGCGCGCCUCUACUGCUCCCUCCUUCCCCCACCUGUUUUGUUGUGAUGCAGGCCAUGUUGAGACCCACAUGUGCUGCAAACGAAAAGGCUUCGGGCCUACAGAAGCCCAAACAUACGUGUCUUGGAACGACCGAAUGCUCUAAUGCUGGGGAAUUAGGAACCUGUGUCCCUUCAUCUUUCUGAAUUGAAUCGAGGCCCGGCACGGCUCGUUUGGAUCCAAAAAAUCAAAGUGGUUUUGUUGCUUCCUUCGCCCUCUUGAGUUCUCUCCUUCCUUUCCGGAGUGAUAGCUAGAGACAAGGUAUUCGAAAAACUCAACCACUUUUGGCUUCAAAGAUCGAGCUUUGAGAUGUGAGAUACUACUCUGAAAAAUUCCAUAGAAGCUUCUCACCACCUUAGCUUUUGUUUUCAAGCCUAGAACCUUUUAAAAAGGAAGUAUGCAUGGAAAAGAUCGGCUGAUAUGGGGAGCAGCUAAACUUGUUACUGUUCAAGCAUUACUUGCCAUAGCUGCUGUCAAAGAUUGGCCACUCCAUCAACUUAGGGAGUCAUUGAAUAAAGCGGCGCAAGACCUUUUUAUUGUCUUGUUGUAGUGUGGGCGACUAAAAAAAUGCGAAAACAAGGGCGGUGAGUAGCUUUGGUAAGAUAGGCGUCAGGUGGGAAAUCGCGCACUGCUAGACAAAGAGAACACGCUAGUCUGCACACUAUUAAGAAAAAAAAAAUACGGUAAUUUAUUUACUGUGUUUAAACAUGAUAAAUAAAUUAUUGUGUUUAACUUUGAAAUUUCAAUAUAAUGCUUGCAUGGUAAAAAGAAAGAUCAUUCCAGUAAUAUAACUUUACAAAAGCUAUUUGUUAUAAAAAAAAAAAUUAAGAGCAGACCGCAUCCAAANAAUAUAACUUUACAAAAGCUAUUUGUUAUAAAAAAAAAACCCCAAAACUGAACCAAUCCGAAUAAAUCGGUUUGGUGCGGUUUAAUAUUUUUUCAGUUUGGUUUGAUUUUCAAUUUGACUGAAAUACAGUUUUUGAUUGUGUAGUAAACUGAACAGAAUAAAAAAUCGAGGUUCGUUAAUUGAUUAAACCUAAUCAAACUGAAUCAAAUUAUGUUUGGAUCGGUUUAGUCACCAGAGCUAUUUUCCUAAUCAAACUGAAUCAAAUUAUGUUUGGAUCGGUUUAGUCACCAGAGCUAUUUGAGUCGAUUCGGUUAAUUGAUUUGUAAAAGGACAAAUUUUGGUUGAUUUUCACUCGAAGCAGAACCAAACUGAAUUGUAUUGAUAACACCCCCCACAUAAUCAGGCAAAGAGAAGAAAAUCAGCCAUUCCAAUCGAAACUAAAACAGCUCGCUAAUUAACCUUUUAAUCACCAGAUCAUGAUUUAGGUUUCUUAAACUCGACGGUUUUAUGAAUCAACCUGGAUCAUAUUGGCCACUAGUUACGAUACAACCUAUUUAACCAGCCAUUUCAAAUUUGUUUUUAAAAUACUGUUCCUGUGUCUUCACUUUGAAAAAUUCAUUAGUAGUCUCCGAACUUCUAUGAAAGAUUCACUUUGCACUCUCUUCUUUUAAAUGAACUCAAAUGCCCUAAAAUCCUCUAUAAAUGUACCAAGAUAGUCAAUCUUGUUAUUUGACAUUAAUAUUAGGCUAAAUUACAAAAAACCUUCCUGCCAAUACCCGCUUUUUCACUUUCUCCCCUGUCGUUUAAAAACCUACACUUUGCCCUCUUGAAAAUGAGAAAUGUUCACAGGGGGUACACCGUGACAAAAUAACCAAAAUGCCCCUCACCAUCUUCGUCUUCUCCUCCAACCUCGCUUAGCCGUCGCCCCUCCUCUUUCGUUCUUCGCGCCUCGCUCAACCGCAGCUCCGACUCUAUUUUCCUCCACAUGCUCUCUUCCUGCACUCGCGUUGCCCCUCCAUUUCGGCGACGAUAGGGAGGAGAUCGUAGUGGGCAUGGACGGAGAGGCGUGCGAGGGCGAGGGCGAGACGGCGAAGGAGCACGAGAGCAUGUGUGUGGACGCGACUGGAGGGGUGGGCGAGGGCGAGGCAGUAGAGGAGGGUGAGGCGGCGGUGUAGGGCAGCGAGGAAGGAGGCGGUCGGGAGGAGAGGAGUAUUUUGGAUAUAAAAAAUAUAUAAUAAUAGGAUAUAAACGAAACCCUAACGGAAUACUGACGAUGGGGGACUAAAGUGAACAUUUCUCAUUUUUCAAGAGGGCAAAGUGUAGAUUUUUUAAAUGACAUGGGGGAAAGUGAAAAAGUGAGUAUUGACAAAAAAAAUUUCUGUAAUUUAGCCUUAAUUUUAUUAAGGAAAAAGUGUUGCGAAGGUCAAAUAAGCAAAAAGCUCAUUUUAGCAGAAAAAUCCUCCAAUAAAAAUGAACUCUUCGACAUUUUUUUUUUCAAAAAAUAUUAACUUACAAUCCACAGGUUGUCUUUUUGAAAAGGCACUUAACAUCAGAUAAUGAAAUGGACCAGUGUGGCGCAUUGGUAAAAACGGGAGGAUAUAUUAAGUACGCUUUUUAAAAAUAGGAAUCAAAUAAAAAACCUUUAGCACAAGUUCUAGGCUACAAGUGCAAUUAACGCAAAUUUUAGAAUCUAUUACUACUAUUGGAUCAACCGAAUGUGGCCAAGCUUUGGCUAGGAGGAAAAAAAAAAAAAAAAUCAACUCACCUAGACUUUGAAGGUCACCAUUCAAACUUGAGAAACAACAAAAAUAUCACCGAAAACAAAUAAGUUUCAUGCUAACAAUCAUCUUAAGCUUCUCUAAAAAUAUUCAGUAGUUUUGUCUGGUGCUGUGGUGCAACGGUUCAAUAUGAAGCCCAACAGUCUAAUUGAGGAAACUAGAAUUAUUUUCUGGACCAUUCACUGAAAAAAACCCAACAACAGCCAAACCCAACAUGUCAACACACAUUACAGAAGCACUUUUCUCAGGGAUACAGAAUCACAGCUCUAUAAACGAUAAUCUAUUACACUACUCGUCUGCAACGGAGAUAUAAUCACGUCAACUCAUCAACUGCAAAAGACAAAUUACUUAAUAGAGAUUCUUUCACGACAUAAUACUGCCGCUCAAUUGAUGUCCCUGCACAACUCUCAGUAUCUCAAAACUGCCAAUAGAUUCUUUGAAAUAAAAGAAGAGAGAAAGAAAGACGAGCUUUAACCAACCAGCCAUUUAAAGCAGUUAUAGUUCAAACGAAACACGCGGAACAAUAGACGUGUCAAAGAAAGUUUCAAUGUCUAACCCAUGAACAUGCAUGAAUUAAACUAGUCAUUGUGCCAACCAAAAAUUCGUAGGCUACAUCAGUGAACUUCAAAAGUUGGUUGAACUAAACCACUAUGCAUGCACCAGGCAAGCGAUCGCUAAAUCUUCCAAAGCAUAAUGAGAUAGCAGCUAAAGAUAUAAUAAAGUAAUUUCACUAUCACCUCAUCAGCCUAUAUGUGUCUACCCACUACUACUAGAUCAAUAUAAACUAAAACGAGAAGACCAAAAUGUACCAUUUCUGGAAAUCAAGUUUAUAUUUCCUUUGACUGUGUGCAAUUUCAUUCAAUUCAUAUUCAUCCGUUCUCGUCAUAGCUGAAGCAGGUUGAUCAAUCACACAACGUAAGUUGAACUAUGAUUCUCCGUUUAUCUCUAAACAGUAAGCAAAAGAGAAGGAAAGCAUUAAUAGCCUUAUCCAUCAUCCAGUGCCAUAGUUACAAAUAUAAAAUUGAAGAUAUCUUGCGGAUUAACUAAAAUAUCAAAUGCUGUAUGUACAAAAUAAGGCACAAGAGUCUUACAACAAGCUGGACUACCAUCACAGCACUUGACGUUCCAAUCGUUGAAGUUGCACAUUCACAACCAAUCAUAUUCAAGCUAAUUUUAUGUAUCACCAGCUUAUACGUAACUUCUACUGAGACUCAGAAGCUCAUUCCAAUAAAAAAUCCAUCAUAAGUAACAUAUACAAAAGAAUUGAAGCAUAGAAAAUUAAAUUUCAUUUAUUAAAGGAACUGCUGCUCAACAAGCUUGCUACUAUAGAAGGACAAAAACGCCUUUCCAAGUUAUAAUAUGGAGCCUCCUUAUUACGCUACUUAUUGAAGUAUCCUACAUGGUAUGCUUUUUUAUAAGUUAAAGCUGUCUAAACCAUUCCAUAUAAACAAAAAUUACACCUGCAAAUUAAGUAGAUAUAUUAAACCAUGUGAAACGAGGUACAACAAUCAUGUUAUAAAGUAGAGAAGAAAAACUGUUGCAUGCACAGCAAAUAAUAGACUUGAUCAAAUGAAGCAAAAGAAUCGCUAAAUACGAUGAAUUGAAAACACAAAAAAGUGCAAGAGUCUAGAGAAUUCAUACAUCUAACUGGGUAAAACAAACUGGUCCUAAAAAGCAAAUGAAUGGAUAGAUAAGAAUAAUUGCAAAUACAAAUAAACCUUCACAUAUAAACCACAGGCGAACUUACAUAACAAAUAGUUAUACAAUAGGCACAUGCCAGCAAAUGUAGUCUCAAAUAUAGGCAACAAGAAGAGGAAAGAUGAAGAAGAUAUGCAAUUCAGCAGGACAGUGUACUAGCAAUCAAAAACUUCAGGUUAACUUUCUCCACUACUUGAUCGAUAUGAAGGAAAUAUUAAGAAAAGAUAGUUUACGACUUGAUAACACAUCAUAACAUAUGCUUUUAACUAAUAUGAAUCAAAAAAUAAGCACUAGCACAUUCAAUCCAUUAAAAACCUGCAAUGGUUGCUUCUUCUUUUUUUUUUGAACUGUAAGCAAAAGAAGAAAAUAUCAAUUUAAGGACCCAAGCUUAAAAAUAAUUUUCUCUUAUUGAAUAACGUUCUUCAUCAAUACAUUUCUACAACCAAGGAACUUAACAUCCAGCAAAUCAAUCUAACAAUCGAAUGCUCUUUGUGUAUCUAAGGCAAAGAUAAUCUUCAAGAUAAUAUAUCUAAACAUCCAUUAUAACCUGCAAUGGUUGCUUUCUUUUUCAACAGUAAGCAAAAGAAGAAAAUACCAAUUUAAGGACCUAAGCUUACAUAUGAUUUUCUCUUAUUGAAUAACGUUCUUCAUCAGUACAUUUCUACAACCAAGGAACAUAACAUCUAGCAAAUCAAUCCAACAAUCGAAUGCUCUUUGUAUAUCUAAGGCAAAGAUAAUCUUCAAACUAAUAUAUCUAAAAAUUAAAAAAAAAAACAAAAUCAAAUCAGCCUAUCACAUUUGAUUAAUUCAACCAUAGUUCGAGUUCUAGUAUCACUAGCUGACCAUUAAACUAGAACUCAUUUUGACAAACAAAGUCAAGCAUUCCCAUUUGCAUAAAAAAAGUUAGCAGUGUAAUUUCAGCUAUUACGUUAAGGCACUUGCAAAUUUGUUACUCCGCUAGAUUGCUUCGCUAGCAGGAACAUAUUAGUUACACGGCCUGCCAAAAAAGAUCGACAAAGUAAACUUUUUAAACUAAAAGAGGCUAAACUGACAAAAAAUCUAUAUCAUAAUUGCUAUGAGAUCUUACUCCUGCUAAAUAGUUACAACAAAAUCGCAGAAAAUUUACUGUAUUAAACACGUAAAUAACGCCGUAAAUAAAAUAUAUUCCUAGCAACACUCUGUAGCACUGUAGCCUAUGAAGCUGCGUAUAUCAAGAUACUUAAGCAUAGACAUCUUUAAGCAAAAUUCAACCAACACUUCACAAGACAACUAGUAAGUAACACAUAUUUUAGAUGUGAUGAAAUACUAUUUAGGCAACUUGAUGAAAUAGAAGAAAAGUGCCGAAGAAGAACAUGAUGUAUAAUAUAAACUACAGAGAACAUCUCUAAUCUGCUCAUUCCGCGAUCAAGCAGCCUUACAAUAAGAUCUUUCAUAGUCUCGCAUUAAGGAAUUUACGGUACACUCCACACAAUCUUCAACAUCAACAGAGCACAUAAAUAGUAGAAGUCAAGAUAUUAAACAAAUACUAGCUAUAAUUUAUUCCGUAGCAACAGAAUUUAAAUUGCAUGUAGUUAUCUUCUAAAUAUUGUAAAGUAUUAACCCACAUAAGAUAACAUUGCACAUCAUCUAUUAUGCGGAAAAAAAUGGAAAUUUCAAAAAGGCUCCAUUCUGCUCUCGUGAAAUGUUUUGCCAAAUGAUGCAGAAUUCCUAUUUCACGGGUUCUGCUGUCAAUUUCUUCUCAUUUACUAAGAUUAUUCAAUUGAAUUGCUCCAAUCUCCCAAAGGAGAAAAUUGCAUGCAUGCAAAUACGGUAAGCAACUAAUGCCCAUUCGAUGCAUAUGGUGCGCACGUACUCCAUGCAAGAUAAAACGACAAUAGUAGUGAACAUAAAGGAAUUCCUCAUAAAUUAGAGUAAUCAAAUAUACAAAGAGUGAAGAAAGAAACAAGGCAGAAUUCUUGAAGGCAUUCCACUCUUAACAUGCUUAUAUCUAAAUACGACACAUGACACAGUACACGCUUCCCCGUGUAUGAACUACGUGGCACAUAAAUCAUACGCAAAAGCGGCCAUUGGUGCUUUACGGGAUCAAAUGUGCAAGUUCCAACACUCGAUCUCUGCAGGACCACAUACCACAUAUUCAGCCACGCAUAUGCGUACAUGCACCUAUCUUACGCAUGCCGAACACCGCUACCUUCAAAAGCAAAAGAAAAAAAAAAAACAAAAACAAGAGAAGAGCUAUGAUUGGUAAACCAGCUUCAAGAAGAAGCCAUGCAAGACAUCGAUGUUGCAGAGGAGACGGACGCGCUAAAACAGCAGUGAUCCAAGUAUCAUUGUGGACGCCAUGCAACUUCCCUAGAAAAUGCUUCUUCAUUGAUAUUCAAAAUUAGCUGCUCUUAAGCAUGAUACCCAAUAACAUCAAACUACAGCCAAACAACUGAGACUAUAUGAAAUAAACAACUGAGACUAUAUGAAAAAAAAAAAAAAAAAAAAAUGCUAUACAAAGAUCAAGGGGAAAAAAAAACCCUCAGAAAACCGGAUCAGAAGGAGGAGCUCAAUGCCCCACUAUCAUCAAAGAAACAGCACUCUGUGUAUAUAACCAGAUCCAAAGGAGACACUAACAAUAAGAAGGGGAAAAAAAAAAAAAAAAAAAGCUUCAGAAAAAACUAGAUCAACUAAGAAUUAGUGUUAUAGCUUUUGUUUCUCAUUCAUUUCAAUUAGAAGACAGAAUGUUUUCUUUUUGUACAAACAACGGCGGGACUGAGGCGGCAAACAGUUUAAAUAGACACCAUAUGAUAAGACCUAAUAAUCCCUAUCCUUACCAAUGAGCUCCAAUCAACCCAGAGAAAUUUCGAGAUCAGCCUUCAAACUCCGGCACGGCAUAGCACGGACAUAGCCGCGACCGACAAUAUAUAAAUUAAAGGAAAGAGUACAAAAAAAAAAAAAAAAAAAAAAGAGAGUAAAAUGAAAGGAAGAUCGAGAGGAAUACCGCAAGAGAUCGAAGAAAGAGAGCCGAAUUAUUUUUUUUCUUCUUUUUUUUUCUCUUUGUCUUUACUAUCUUUUCUUUCUGACAGCUCCGCGGCGGCGGCGGGGCAGUAUGGGAAUGGGGAUGGGAUGGGGAUGGAGGUGGGGGUGGGGGUGGGAAUCAGAAUCAGAGGCGGAGGGCGGUGCUGGGCGGCAUCGGAUCAGUCGGGAGAGAUUGAGGUCGAAGGGAAGCGGGCUCGAGCGGAAGGGGAGAGCGGUGUCGUCGUAAUCGUCGUCGACGACGGAGGAGGAGGAGCCGCAGUCGCUGCGGCAGUCUUGAUCGGGUUGGGGCGAGGAGGGUGGAGGGUGGAUGACGGCGCGGGCGGCGGAGGAGGGAGAAUGCGGGGGCCGCCUGAAGGACUCGACGGUGGAGCUCAGGCUGCUGGUGGUGCUGAAACUGCGGCUGCGGCGGCAGCAGCGGCCCAGCGGCAGCAGAGGAGCAAGGCUCGGCGGUGGUGGAAGGAGGGGAGGAGGAGGGGAGGAGAUUGUGGCUGGGGAGGAUGGAGGGAUGAGGGGAGGGUAGGGGGAGGGGAAGUUGGUCUGCCUUGGGGCCGCGAGGGCGCGGGCGGCGGCGUUAGGCGCGGCGCGUCCCGCGGAGUCGAAGGUGCCGAGCCAGCACCGCGCUCUUCAGGGGCGCGGAUCUCCGCGCGAACUCGACCGCCACGGCCGCUUCCGCACUCCCCCGAUACCUCACGCCACCCACCCCACCCCUCUCUGGCGCAAAAAAAAAGAGAGUAAAAAUGAAAGGAAGAUCGAGAAAGGAAUACCGCAAGAGAUCGAAGAAAGAAGAGCCGAAAUUCUUUUUUUUCUUUUUUUUUUUUCUCUUUGUCUUUACUAUCUUUUUCUUUGACAGCUCCGCGGCGGCGGCGGCAGGUAAUGGGAAUGGGGAUUGGGAUGGGAUGGGGUGGGGUGGGAAUCAGAAUCAGAGGCGGAGGCGGUGCUGGGGCCGCGUCGGCAUCGUCGGGAGAGGUUAGGUCGAAGGGGAGCGGGCCUCGAGCGAAGGCGGAGGCGGUGUCGUCGUAGUCGUCGUCAGACAGAGGAGAGAGAGAGCCCGCAGUCGCUGCGGCAGUCUGAUCGGGGUUGGGGCGAGGGAGGGUAGGUGAGGGAGGUGAAGGACCGGGCGUGCGGAGGAGGGGAAUGCGGGGGCCGCUGAAGACUCGACGGUGGAGCUCAGGCUGCUGGUGGUGUGAAACUGCGGCUGCGGCGACAGCGGCAGCGCAGCGGCAGCGGCAGCACAGCAGCACAGGCAGCAGCACAGCAGCGCUGGCUGGGUAAGGAGGGGAAGGAAGGAGGGGAGGAGUGGCUGGAGGAUGGAGGGUGAGAGGGGAGGGGAGGGAAGUUGGUCUUGGCCUUGGGGCCACGGAGGGCGCGGGCGGCGGCCGUCGUAGGCGCGGGCGCGUCCUCGGCGAGUCGAAGGUGCCGAGCCAGACCCGCGUCUUCUUCCAGGGUCGCGAUCUCCCGCCGCGAACUCGACACCCACGGCCUGCUUCCGCACUCCCCCGAUACCUCACCGCCACCCCAACCCCCAGCCCCCUCCUGCGGCCGCCGCCGCCCCCUCUACGUUUCCUUCCCCUUCCUCAUCGCUGCCGCCGCCGCCGCCGCCGCCGCAGCCGGCCGCCCGAUUUCACCAAAAUUCAAAGAAAGAGAAAACACAGAGAAGAAAAAGAAAGAUGGAACAAAGAGUAGGAAGAGAUAGUCUUUAUUAUUAUUAUUAUUAUUCUUAUUAUUUCUCCUUCAAGAUGAGGAUGAGAGGAAAGGAAAGAGGAGAUUGGAGAUCUCCGUCUUUAUUAUUAUUAUUAUUAUUAUUAUUAUUAUUAUUAUUAUUAUUAUUAUUAUUAUUAUUAUUAUUAUUAUUAUUAUUAUUUUUCUUUUUCUUUUGGGCGGGGGAGGCGGGGUAGGGGGAUGAGGGUGGGAUUUUUGGUUCUUGCUUCUUUUCUUGUUUCUGGUGUUGCUUUACCUUAUUAUUAUUAUUUUAUUAUUAUUUUUCUUGGUUUUGUGGCGACGUGUGGAUGGGUUUGGGAAGGCAACGUCCCCACAAACCGACCGACUUGAUUGCUUUCUUCUACCACCUCCCACCUCCCCACCCUCCCCAACUUUCCCCCACUUCCUUUCCCUUUCCCUUUCCCUUUUUUUUUAAAAAAAAAAUUUAUCGUUUCAUUUAAGUUCUUCUGCCAGGCGUUUUCUCAUCAAGUAAAAUGCCGAAACCACCCUUCUCCGUUCUUUAUUUCGAAUUUAAUUUUUUAUAUUAUUUUUUUGACGGUCGAAAUGACGAACUUGCCCUUCUAGUUUCGGGAAUCAGUGAGCCCCUCGAGCCGCGCGGCCCGGUAUCUUCUAACGAGGGAGCAUCUUCUGUAGUUGGUUAAGGCUGUAGAAAUUUUUUCAUGUGUUUGGUUGCCGCAAAAUGUAGCACCAACAACUGAGGUUUUUACUCUUAUUAAAAAACAAAAAAAAAACAAAAAAAAAAUUAUUAGUUUCAGUAAUUAGUGCAUUAGAAAUUGACAUUCAGUUGAUUUUUUUUUGCACUUAAAGAAAAUUAACUUUUACGAUAUGUGAUAUUUGAAAUAUGUUGAAACCCGUUUACAUGAAAUAGAAAAUCAAUCUUUUAGGCCAUAUUAUUUACUUGGGAUAAUUGCCUCUAUAUCUUUCAUUCGUCUGGAAAUAUCCGAUCUUACUCCUACUUUUUUUUUCCUUUCUAAAAUACCCCUCAUAUGUUCCACCGUUAUUGCAAAAUACUUCCGCAGUUAUCUCCUGUUAAAUUAAACUGAGUUAAACGUGAGUUAAAUAUCUAUCACAAUUAAAAAAAUUUAAAAUGUCAAUUUUGCCCUUAACUUAAGGGCAAAUAAGAAAGGUUAGUUACGGUAGAGGGGUAUAUUAGAAAAGACAAAAAGUUGAAAUACUUUUUGUGCCCUGACUUUAAGGGCAAAUAAGAAAGACAAUGAUGAUGGAAGGGUAUAUUUGAAAAGGGCAAAAUAGUAAUUUUACAGAGAUAACAGUUUUACUUAACAGAUUUUAACUCUAAGGGUAUAUUAGAAAUAGGUUGGAACGUAGGAGGGGUAUUUUUAAUAUUAGCCUUCUAAGAGGGGUAAAUCGAAAAGUCGAAAACUUUUCAGGAGUAUAUAAGAAAUUGCCCCUAUUUACUUUAUUUACUAACAUUAUUUUGUCUAUUCCAAUUUCUAGAAUUUGCUCCCUUUAGUUUGGAAAUAAGGUAUACCUUUUCAUUCUUGAGACCAACAAAAUUGUAAGAAUACGCAAGAAUAUAAGCACAAGUUUAUGUUCAGAUGUGAACCAUGUUAUUACUACGGAGGAAAGAAAUUGUGUUCCGAUGAAUAAAAUAGAAUAAUGGGAUUAUUGAAUUAGUUAGGAAAAAUAUAAGUGAUUAAUUGAUUAGCAAUAAAGUUUGCCAGUAAAUUAUAAAAUUAAUUCAUAAAUUACUAAAUUAAUUAGUUAUAUACUUAUGGCCAAUUUGUAUAAAACAUUUACAAAUUUUGAAUUUUUAUAAAACUGGGCCGCCUUUUUCGAUUUUGCAAAUUCGGUCAAAAUUUUCAGCAAACUGACCAAAAUACCCUUAUUAUUUUUUCCCUCUCCUCUUUUUUUUCUCUCAUUCAUUUUUUUCUCUCUCCGAGGAAGGCAACGGAGGCAGAGGCGGAGGUGGAGGCGGAGGCGGAAACGGACCACCUCGCCUCUCACCCUCAUGCCCUCGCCCUCGCCCUCGCCCUCGCUCGCGCACCCCACCUUCCUUGACUCUUUCUUUUUCCCCUCUCUGACCCUCCUCCACUGUCUCCGACGUCGUUGCCUCUCUCGCCCUUCUUGCCCUCUCCCUUUCCUUCCUCCUCUGCCUCCCCCGCUGCCUCCAACGACGACGCCUCUCCGCCGACGCUGACACCGCGGAGGUUGCUGCGGUACCGCAGCCUAGGAGCGAGGGGUCCUUAGCGGGGUCAUCACCGACGCCGUGGUCGUUGGCAGAGAGGCGUGACAAAAAAAAAUUAUAGAAGAAGAAAAAAUAAAAAAAUAAAUACCAAAAAUUAUAGAAAAAGAAAGAAGAAGAUGAAAUUGUACUGUUAAAAUAAAAUUAUACUGCUUAAAUUUUUUUUUCACUAGUUUAAGUUAAAGUUACACUUUUUGAGACAGAAAUUACACUCUUUGGGAUCAGAUUUACACUCUUUAGACCAAAUUUGCACUAUUUAGUUGAAAUUUACACCUUUUUUUUUUUUCCUUCUUCUUCCUCUAAUUUACACCAUUUUUUUUCUCUUCCUCUUCUUCCUCCUCCUUUCCUUCCAAUUUACACCAUUUUUACCAGUAACAGCGAGAAUCUAAAUACUCGGCCCUAAAGUCCACAACACUAGGUAUAGCAAUUUUAUAAAAAAAGGUCCCAACUUUCCUAAAAAUAAGAGCUGGAAAAGAAAAGAGGUGACAAAAUCCUCCGCAUUACAAGAGAAAAGCACACAAUUCCAAUAGAGAAAUAGGUAACCAAACACCUAAUGAUCGAUAUAGCACAGUUAAAGGCAUCACUCACCUUGGCAAGCGCGGUUUCGCAGGCAGGUUCCGAGGACGCAAUCCUUACUGCCCGUCCGCGGCGGCGCAGAACAGGGCCCCGCGCGCAUUGGCGAAAGUGGGAGAGCGAAGGAGCCCUACAGCGGAGAGGCAUCGUCGUCGGAGACGGCGGAGGAGGCGAAGGAGGAGGGAGAAGGAGAGGGCAAGAAGGGCGGAGAAGGGCGAGAGAUGUGUCGUUGAGAGAGGGCGCAGAAAAGGGCCCCGCGCGCAUUGGCGAAAGCGGGAGAGCGAAGGAGCCCUACAGCGGAGAGGCAUCGUCGUCGGAGACGGCAGAGGAGGCGAAGGAGGAGGGAGAAGGAGAGGGCGAGAAGGGCGGAGAAGGGCGAGAGAGGGCGAGAGAGGCGUCGUCGUCGGAGACGGUGGAGGAGGGUCAGAGAGGGGGAAAAAAAGAGUCAUGGCGCGACCUCGGUGGGGUUGGAGGCGAGGAAGGCGAGGGGUGCCUGGGCGAGGAAGAGGGCAUGAGGGUGAGAGGCGAGGCGGGCCAUUUCCGCCUUCGCCUCUGCCUCCAUUGUCUUCUUCGGAGAGAGGAAAAAAAAUGAACGAGAGAAAAAAUAAUAAAGGUAUUUUAGUCAAUUUGUUGAAAAUUCGAACUGAAUCUACAAAAUCGAAAAAUGAGGGCCAGUUUUGUAAAAGCUCAAAAUUUGUGGAUUUUUUAUGCAAAUUGGCCCAUAUUUAUCUUAGUUAGGUAUUUAGUUAAUAAGUUAGUUUACCAUUAACAAUUUACAAAUACUAGUCGAGUGUACAUACAACUGCACGUAAUAAUUAUUUUAAUUUCUUUCAAAUCAAUAAAAAUUUGUAAAUCAUAUUGAUCCAAAAAUUGAUUAAAAUUUAUAUUUUAUAUAUUUAUAUGUUAUAUUUUAUUAGAAAAUAUCUAUAAUACCAUAUAUUAUUCUUUGUUCAUAUACAUUAAAUAUUUUUAUAUAUUUUUUGAUUUCUAAUGAAUCUAAAAUUUAAAUAUGUGUUUUAGACUUAAAGCAUCAAAGUUUAAUUAACAUUAUUUCAAAAUUCAAAAUUUUAUUUUGAUCUAUUAUAUAAUUAAAAUUUUUUAAUUGUUAAUUCAAAUUUGAUAUAAAAAAUCAAAAAUUAAAUUUAAUUCACGAUUUAAACUCAAAUUUAAAUUUUAAUAUAAAAUAGAUGAAUAGAAGUGCUAUUUUUUAACAGAUUAAUCAUAAUAGUUUAUUUUUAUUUAAAAUAUUUUUAACAAAUUGAUCAUAACCGUUUGUAGAAUUAAAUUUAUAGAUGGAUAUGAAUAUUUUUUUUAAUAGAUUGAUAAUAACUGUUCAUUCUUAUUUAAGAUAUUUUUUACAAAUUGAUCAUAACGUUCAUAAGGAAUAUUUUUUUAUUCCUUUUGAUUCCGUCUGUCAUUCUUGCACACUUUUAUAUAUAGUAUAGAUAAAUUAAUGAAAAAUAGUAUUAGUUAUGUACGCAAUAACUUCGCUAAUUAGUUAAUUACUUUUAUUCUUAAAAAGAAUAAAUUAAGGAGUUAUCUAUGAAUAAUAUACAAAAUAUUAAUUUGUCGCGUCUCGAAUUUCGCUAAUUGGACCUGAUCGGACAUGUGCAAUAAAUCCGCCGAAUGGUCAAUGUUUAUUCUAACCACAGGAAGUGGAACGAUACACCAACUUGUACAAUCACAUAUAUAAUAUGAGUACAAUAAAGUAUCAAAGUAUUUAACUAUUAUAUUGAAGCCAUUAUAAUUUUUGCACUCUUUGAAGUUUACAAACUGAGAAUUUUGCUGUGUAACUAAAUUUUCUAUUGAUGAUAUUUUUGUGUAUUUUAAUUAUAUAAUUUCUCGUCAAGUUUCAAGAGAAAACGAGUUAAGAAGGAGAUUUUACACGAUCUUUACUUUUCACUAAAAGUGAAUAGUAACCCAAGUUUCCGAAGAGGCCAGUGAGAAGAGAUGGCUUCUGGCGCGUAUCGAACUCCAUUUAUAGUGAUCCAAUAGCUCGUUUUCAACGGUUCGUGUCACGCCCCGGAUUACUCGUUUCCCCGGGCUUGCUAACAGACCCGCCGUAUACAUAGGUAUUUCCGCUAUAUACGAAGCGAAAAGUAAAAGUACCUAUAAUCAUACAAUACUACAGACAGUAGUAUAGAGCAGCUAGGAGAAAAGAAUACAACAUGCAUAUAUAAACUGUGGUUCUAUACAUACAUAAGAUCCAAGAUACAAAAGCACUCGCACUGGCGAGAGUACAACAUCUGUAUGUAUAAACCAAAACUACACUACCUGCAACGGUCCUCCACUAGCUCAGCAACUCGACUGGAAGGACUCUAACUCGCGACGCCCUUGCCACGAUCAAUAUCAGCGACAGCAGCAGCCGAAGACGAUGGCUCUGCAAAACAGUGGAAACAAACUGGGCGUGAAAACUACUACAAAAGAAGUAGUCCUCGGUGGGUACCGCCCUCAACACAUCGGUACACCCACUAAGUCUACAGGGGUAAGCAAGAAAUAGUAAGAAAAACUGGAAUAUAUCUACAGCCAUCUGCCUCUAUACUAUCAUGCUCUAAUCUAACCAACUGUAGAAUAGUGUCAAUUCAGACCCAAUCUCGAAUAGGGACUGUAAUCAUACCCAUCCCUGGGACUGUGAACACACCCGUCCCGCCAGGUUGCAACUAACCAGUUAUCUCCACACUAACAAGUCUAUGGAGAGCAAGUCCAACCUGCACGAACGACACCAACACAAACGCACAAAGCCCAACUUCGGAGUGGCACUCGUGAUGCUACCGAACCGAGUAUGCAAGCGUAUUUCUGUCGAGCUCAAUCAGACUCUAACAAGCCAAAGACAGGUAGCUAGGGUCAAAACAGGUCUAGAAAUCAAACUCACGUGCCCUUGGCACAAUUUGAGACCAAAAACAGAAAUUUGGGUCCACCGUCCACCCCGACGGCACUUGACAACCCGAAACAGCCUAGACUCUGCUGUAAAAAUAAGCUCGGCAUCUCAGUAUGAGCGUAAAUGCAUUCUAAACUACCCCAGGUAUCCACCGCGCUGAAACAGCGAUGAUACAAUCAAACCACGGCUCCUAGAGCUAAAUCAGAUAGUAGAAUCAUAUGACAGGUCAAAAUACGGGUUUUCUCCUAAGUCCAAUUCCAAGUCCAACAUGCAUAUUUAUCAAAUUAUUAAUCAUGCUCUCAAUUCUGAUUUCAUACAUGAUCUAAUCAAAGAAAUUGAGCUACAAUAUGAUCUACCAAAAGCUGAAAUCACACAUGUCGACUAAUACGGGCUUAGGAGCAAAUCCGAUGAAAACCCACCUCUAGUGCUCUUUCCUGGCAGCAAGAAGGUCACAAAAUGCUGGAAGCCUCAGCCGGGAUCACCCACAACCAGCAACAAAGCUACUCGAAGGAUCUACACCCAAAAUCCAUCAAAAUCCAUUAAUUCACCAAAAUUUCAGCACUUAAGCUUAAUUGUCUCAACUCCAAUGUCAAAACUCACCUAAUAAUCUCCAAUUCAGGUGAGGACAGUCCCAAAUCCAAUAGAGUAUACUAGAGAAUGAUUCUCAGGUCCCAAAUUCUCCUACUUCCAAAGAUAGCAUCAAGAAAAGCUCAAAAUCCACAAUUCUGUCCAAAUACAACAGCAGCAGAGUAAAACUUGAGUUCGACCAAGCUAACCUCAACCAAAUUCUGCAAUUCAGGGCUUCGUGGAUUUCUCUGGCAGUCUAGAAUCCAGCAAACCAAGUUUCACCACGAUCCAACCUUUCUACGUGGCACACGAGCCAAAACACUGGAGGUCGUUGCUGAAUAACUGCAGAAUAAACACCUAUCAAGCUUGGAGUUGUGGAUCUUGAAGCAAUUUGAGUGAUUUGGAGGGGUUGGAAUGCAAAGUAGAGGAUCACUGUGAAGAAGAGAGGAAAAGAGCUCACCAGGAACGCUCCUCAGCUAUUUAUAGGGUGAACAUAGGGUCAGAUGAACCUCAGGAACAAAGGCUGCAAUUCUGUUACACCUGCAGAAAUAGCCACUUUCGGGCGCCCAAAACCCAUUUCUGGGCGUCCGAAACCUCCAGGCUGCACAUUUGCUCCCCUUUGGUUCCAUCGCCCGCGGUGUGCUACGCCCAUAAACGGCUCCGGCGGACCUCACCUACCACCAGUCAUGUCACGCCCCGGGACCGAUACCAAUUUGGCCCGACCCGAGCACGUCAAACAGACGCCGAACGGACAGGGUUUCCCCUAUUCGCCCAAGGCUCAUCACAUGUACAAAUUCAAACAAGAAAUGCACUAGCGGAAACAUACACAAUCGGUUUACACGAGGGUAAGCAAUAGCCAUUAGUGAAAGAAAGGAAAACUAAACAUUUACAAGUACUAUGAUUCAUUUUUGAUCAUAUACNUUCAUUAUACUCUAAAGAGUCCAUUAGAACCAUUCCUAACUCAUUCCAAAUCCUAGUUUGGAUUUCACCAUUAGAGGUGGCCAAAGCUCACCUCAAGCUAAACCAUGGUUUUGAUCUCUAGAGAAGCAAAAAGAAAGCUUCAAAUACUCUAAUGAUUCCAUAAAACCGAUUUUAAGCUUAAUCCAAACCCUAGAUUAGGUUCUACCAUGAUUAGGGUUCAAAGCUUACCUUGUAAGCUCUCCUUUUCCAAGCUAGAGAUGAGGGAGAGGGAGUUUCUUCACUUCCUCUUCUUCUUCUCCACUUUCUUCUUCUUC
rnacentral:lncRNA from 1 species